CAGCAGGAAGAAAGGUAUUGAACCAGGACUCAGAUCCAGGAGUACCCUUUGGAAUUUCCACCUGCACAGCCCCGCAUCCCGGGAGAUGGAAGAAAGCGGGGGGGGGGUGAGGUCCAGCAGAGCACUAGAGAGGAGCCCUUGACUGGAGGUGGGGUGCUAUUGGGGGAGGGGCUGGAUUACAAAGGAUGGGGACCCCACCAGCCUGGUAGACAAGGGAGCCGUCCAGCCAUGCUCCUGGGAGGAGGGAGCCCCUGGCUGUGAGUUGGGGGUGAGGGGGGGCCCCCGGGGAUCCUAUUCAGACCCCGGUGCGUAGGGGGGCUGAAGAGUGGCCAGAGGCCCAGGGGGGCACCCAAGUUAGGACCUGAAGUCUGUGGAAGGGAAAGCCACUUUCUUGUGCUACAGAAUUAUUCCUUGUUUUUCUGAAAUUGAAAUUUGGCUGGACAUUUGCAUUUUUAUUUCCUAAAUCAGCCUCACAGCUUGGAACCCUGGACUCGCACUCAGUCCACUGAGCCACUGAGCCCACCCUGGCGCCCAUGGCGCAUGCACUCUGGGGACUUUUUCCUGAGGCCAAAGCCCUCUCUACCCACCUCCCGCCCCCAGCGAGAGGAGCUGAAUUCGAGUCAGGUGCUGAGAAGUUGUGGCUCAGUAACCAGACUGACCAGUAUCCACGAGGACUCAGGUUCGAUCCCUGGCCUUGCCCCGCGGGUUAAGGAUCCAUCAUUGCCAUGAGCUCUGGCGUAGGUUGCAGACGCAGCUCGGGCCCAGCAUUGCUGUGGCUGUGGUGUAGGCCGGCAGCUACGGCUCCAAUUCGACCCCUAGUCUGGGAACCUCUAUAUGCUGCAGAUGCAACCCUGAAAAGCAAAAAAAAGGAGAAGUUGGGGGGCACGAAGUAGGGGUGCAGUCGUAUCUCUUGAGUGGCGGGAUGGCGAUGGUGUCUGUUAGGGACGUCCUGCCCGCCCAGCCUUGGCGGAAGCUCCCCAGCCAGGCGAGGAGCGAGGCCCUGGGGCGGGCAGUGUCUUGGCCUGCCCUGCCUGGCUGGUAGGACAAAGGGCUCUGGGGGCCCUGACAGAGGUGGUGGGGCAGGGAGAGGGGUGGAUGCAGAAGCAGAG
rnacentral:lncRNA from 1 species